GAAGCCAUUCAGAGUGGGGCUUCUGGAGAAAGGGAGUGUGGGCAAGCAAUUUGAAGACAACCAUGUCUUCAAAGUAAACAAAAGAGGACCUGUUCCAGGGCCAGACAGGAUUGGGUGUGAAAAGCGGGUUCCCAGAAUGAUGAAGAGGUCCAGAUGGUGGCUCUAAAAUGGUUUUGUGCUGGUCUACUUAUGGGAAGGCUUACUGGUUUUGGAGAUCUAACCAAGCAGAAAGGUUACGGAAUUGAUCUUAAGAGAAGAUCGCGAAUGAAAUAGGACAUUUUCUCACCCGUUCCUUGUUCUAUUUGCUUUGUACAUCAGAUGCAUGAUGCCGUGGGGGCCUUUAUUUCCACUGCUCUGUUCUCACAUGCAAUCUUGUUAAUGCCCUAAGUCGUUUGACGAGGCAAUUUCCUUGUGUGUGUUUACCUGCGAGGAUGCUAUGUGCAAAACAGUAUUUUCAGUGAAAUACGUUUACUGUGAAGACAACAGGAAGGGAUCGAUAACAAAGAAAAAUCAGUAAUGUUAAUGUUGCAUCACUGCAGGAUGUUAUUUUUAUCCUUUUCAUCCUCCUUGCCUUCCAGUUACUCUCUCAAUGUUGCUGUUAGCAAAUCAACAUGGAGGAAUUCUUUGAGCGUUUAAUAGAAUGCUUUCUUAUUGUAAAAUUUAUAAUCAGAAUAGAUUGAAAUGGGAAACAAUUUAAUUAAAGU